GACGAACGCUGGCGGCGUGCUUAACACAUGCAAGUCGAACGGAAAGGCCCUGCUCUUGUGGGGUGCUCGAGUGGCGAACGGGUGAGUAACACGUGAGUAACCUGCCCUUGACUUUGGGAUAACUUCAGGAAACUGGGGCUAAUACCGGAUAGGAGCUCCUGCUGCAUGGUGGGGGUUGGAAAGUUUCGGCGGUUGGGGAUGGACUCGCGGCUUAUCAGCUUGUUGGUGGGGUAGUGGCUUACCAAGGCUUUGACGGGUAGCCGGCCUGAGAGGGUGACCGGCCACAUUGGGACUGAGAUACGGCCCAGACUCCUACGGGAGGCAGCAGUGGGGAAUAUUGCACAGUGGGCGGAAGCCUGAUGCAGCAACGCCGCGUGCGGGAUGACGGCCUUCGGGUUGUAAACCGCUUUCGCCUGUGACGAAGCGUGAGUGACGGUAAUGGGUAAAGAAGCACCGGCUAACUACGUG
rnacentral:rRNA from 1 species